AUUCUGCCCAAGCGGGGAAGGAUGAGAAGCUUCGACCAAGGUUCGACUUGAGCGCCAGCGAGAGAGCGUUGCCGCAGGCAACGACCC
rnacentral:sRNA from 2 species